UACGAAGGGGGCUAGCGUUGUUCGGAAUUACUGGGCGUAAAGCGCGUGUAGGCGGGUCUUUAAGUCAGAGGUGAGAUGCCAAGGCUCAACCUUGGAACUGCCUUUGAUACUGGAGAUCUUGAGUCCGGGAGAGGUGAGUGGAAUUGCGAGUGUAGAGGUGAAAUUCGUAGAUAUUCGCAAGAACACCAGUGGCGAAGGUGGCUCACUGGCCCGGAACUGACGCUGAGACGCGAAAGCGUGGGGAGCAAACAGG
rnacentral:rRNA from 1 species